GACGAACGCUGGCGGCGUGCUUAACACAUGCAAGUCGAACGAGGUCCAUGGAGUAGCAAUACUCCGGAAGACCUAGUGGCGAACGGGUGCGUAACACGUGAGGAACUUACCCCGGUCUCUGGGAUAACAGUUGGAAACGACUGCUAAUACCGGAUGACGUCGGAGCGUCGCAUGGCGCGCUGACGAAAGGGUUACUGGAUCGGGAGAGCCUCGCGGCCUAUCAGCUUGUUGGUGGGGUAACGGCCUACCAAGGCAUCGACGGGUAGCUGGUCUGAGAGGAUGAUCAGCCACACUGGGACUGAGACACGGCCCAGACUCCUACGGGAGGCAGCAGUGGGGAAUCUUGCGCAAUGGGCGAAAGCCUGACGCAGCAACGCCGCGUGCGGGAAGAAGGCUCUCGGGUUGUAAACCGCUUUCAGCAGGAACGAAAAUGACGGUACCUGCAGAAGAAGGUGCGGCCAACUACGUGCCAGCCGCCGCCGUAA
rnacentral:rRNA from 1 species